rnacentral:rRNA from 1 species
UAAGGAAUAUUGCUCAAUGGGAGAAAUCCUGAAGCAGCAACGCCGCGUGGAGGAUGAAGGGUCUAUGACUUGUAAACUCCUGUAAAGAAGGAAAAAAUUCCCAUUUGAUGGGAGAUGAUGGUACUUCUGGAGUAAGCCCCGGCUAACUACGUGCCAGCAGCAGCGGUAAUACGUAGGGGGCAAGCGUUGUCCGGAUUUACUGGGUGUAAAGGGUGCUCAGGCGGAUUUGUAAGUCAGAGGUGAAAUCUUACAGCUUCACUGUGAAACUGCCUUUGAUACUGCAAGCCUAGAGUAUGGAAGUGAGUGAUGGAAUAUCUGGUGUAGCAGUGAAAUGCGUAGAUAUCAUAUAGAACACCAAUGGCGAAGGCAGUCACUUGGUCCACUACUGACGCUAAAGCAC